AGCUUGGAUCAAUUGUGCAGGGAACUCAGUCUGAAGAAAGGCAAAGACAAGCUAGGACUCUAGUAAUGCCUAAUGCCGAAUCUUUAGCUUUGGCCGCGCUUCACAGUCAAGCCAAGAAGAGGGAGAAAACUGAAAUCACCUGCUAUCACUGUGGAAAAACUGGCCACACCGAAGAAAAGUGCUCUUGGUUGAUUGGUUUUCCCCCCAAUUUCAAAUUCACCAAGUCUAAACCAGGACACUCCUCUGGUACAUCAUCAGCUGUGCACUCAGCCAAUCAGGUGGCUUCUCAAGGCCAGAAGAAAGGGCCUCUGAAUGGUUCACAAUUGCCUUUAAUCGAAGCUCAGAUUCAGCAGCUCGUUGCUCUUGUUAAUGCUCAGUCUUCUCAGCUCAACCUCAAUGAAUCCACUCCCUCAGCAAAUCAGCCCAAGACUCACCUUACCACACCCACCGAUGCUAUAGCUAGCAAGUAGCAUGUCUCAUUCCUCCAACAUGGCAGGACCUGUCUUCAUGGAUGACGAUUGGUCUUGCUAAAGUCUGCAAUGGUCUCUAUUUUCUCAAUCGUCGCUCCUUUUCCUGCAAUGUUGUCAACAGUUUUCUUUCCUCCAGCCGCACUGCCAAUCACCUCAAACUGCCACUAGUCAAGCCUUCAAUGCCAAUAAACCGCAGACUUUUGAUC